UGUAUUAUACUAAACAUCGUGUACUUUUUAUCGAUUCUGUUUCAGAUGCUCUCUCGCAAUGUGUCGUCACAGUUUCAUGUGAAAUCAAUGAAAAAGAAAAACGCAAAAGCUGUUUCAGAUUCUCUAAUGGUCCCGUGAGGUGGUGGUGGGCUCUCUAAAUUGCCUGUGGCAACAAUCGCAAUUUCUUAGCUCUAAGUUCUGGAAUUUCAGUCAUAGUCGUCGAGAGUUUUUGGUUAAAAUUUUCAAACUUGAUCGAAUUUUGGGGGAAGAGUCUGAUUAAAAAGCUCUAGUCUUUCCGCAAUUUAGCCACUGUUUACUCCAUCGUGUAGGGGUUUGAUUAGAUAAGAAGCCUUUUGGAACGAUGCUAAGGGGAUAUCAAAACAGUAGCUGUUUAUAUCCCUGGGUGAUUUUGCUUUCAGUGUUCUCAAUAGUAACACUGAAGCAGAGUUCAGGAAAAGACGAGAAUUUCUAUGGCGCCAAGGGACGGGUCAAUGAGCAAAUGGUUUUAGACAUAAAAGAAGCUGAAAGGGAAGAUGAUUCUCUAUUGUGUCCUUCAAGAGAUGCCAGUCCUAAGGGAAAGCUAUUACUUUACUUCUCCAACGCCAAACAGAGGAAUUUAUGGAUGUGGAAACUUUUGAAGCCACAAUGGAAUAUAGAAAGUUUCAUAACCACUCUUGAAGCGCCUGCACACUCACUUGUAACCUAUGGUGAUCGUUGAAGACACAUGAAGCUUCUUCAAACAAGAGAACUACAAUCGCAACACAGGUCUUGGCUGAUAUGUGUCUUCUCUUUGCUUGUGUCACGGACGAGCAGUCAUGGA